rnacentral:misc_RNA from 1 species
GAUGAAGAACGUAGCGAAAUGCGAUACUUGGUGUGAAUUGCAGAAUCCUGUGAACCAUCGAGUCUUUGAACGCAAGUUGCGCCCGAAGCCAUUAGGCCGAGGGCACGCCUGCCUGGGUGUCACACGUCGUUGCCCCCCCAUCUACUCCUUCGGGAUUGCGGGGGGCGGAUGAUGGCCUCCCGUGCGCCUCGUCGCGCGGUUGGCAUAAAUGCCAAGUCCUCGGCGACGCACGCCACGACAAUCGGUGGUUGCGAAACCUCGGUUGCCCGUCGUGUGCGGUCGUCGCGCAUCGAGGGCUCGAAAAAAUUGCCGGGCUCCGGCUCGGCUUUCAACGCGACCCCAGGUCAGGCGGGGUUACCCGCUGAAUUUAAGCAUAUCAAUAAGCGGAGGA